rnacentral:rRNA from 1 species
UCCUACGGGUGGCUGCAGUGGGGAAUAUUGGACAAUGGGGGCAACCCUGAUCCAGCCAUGCCGCGUGUGUGAAGAAGGCCUUCGGGUUGUAAAGCACUUUAAGCGGGGAGGAAGGCUCGGCGGCUAAUACCCGUCGGGAUUGACGUUACCCGCAGAAUAAGCACCGGCAAACUUCGUGCCAGCAGCCGCGGUAAUACGAAGGGUGCGAGCGUUAAUCGGAAUUACUGGGCGUAAAGCGCGCGUAGGUGGUUUGUGAAGCGACAUGUGAAAUCCCCGGGCUUAACCUGGGAACUGCAUGUCGAACUGGCAGGCUAGAGUAUGGUAGAGGGGUGUGGAAUUUCCGGUGUAGCGGUGAAAUGCGUAGAUAUCGGAAGGAACAUCAGUGGCGAAGGCGACACCCUGGACCGAUACUGACACUGAGGCGCGAAAGCGUGGGUAGCGAACAGGAUUAGAUACCCGGGUAGUCU